AUUCGUCUUCUCCGAUUGAUUUUCGACGAUUUUUUCGCAAAGACAUUGUCGAUCGGAAAUCAAUUCCAAUCGUUUGUAAAUUAAAAUUUUUAGUAUAUUCGAUUGCGUAAAUAUAUAUUUAAACAUUCGGAAGUCUCUCGAAAGUGUCAUCGAGUUUGUCCAGCCUAUGAAAAUAUUUCGAUUCGUAACCAGUGUGUGCGAAUAUUCAAGUAACUUUUUGUAUUCCGGAGCAUCGUCGCAAAACGGCAAUAAAUGGAAUCAGUGCGACGAGAGUUUGCCAUCGCAUGGUCUAUUUAUCCAGGCCGAAACUGCAGUCGUGGGUAAACGAUGAAGUCUGAAACAGUUCGGACGUGUGCCGAGAGUCAGCAUCAACGUUUCGGAGCCUUGUGUUUAUUUGAGGGACUCGGGCCCCCCUUACGAGACGGUACAGCCAAGGAAAGUCGUUGUCGGUGAUGUAUGGAGUGGUAUUGUACGUAAUAAAUUGGAGUUCAGGUAUCUCUUCGAUGACCGGGACCGGGACCACCUUUCGUCCGAUGUCGACCUGUUCCAAGAGAAGGUCUUCCGAUACGUCCGGACCUCGUUGGCGGAGAACGAUUCCUCUCGGUCGGCCGGCUCGAGUAACGGUGAAAAGAAUCGCACGGUCAGAGCGUAAAGAUUCCCGCGUUCGUUCCUGACACCGGGAAGUCUGGCUUCUAUUUCGGCCUUACUGUUUUCUCGGACGUGUCUACCGGCUCUAUCACGAGGCUCGAUGCGCGUUGAGGAGGGUUUUGGCAUCUACGGGUAAAGGAGAGAUGGAUUUAAUCAAGGCAAUGCUAGUUUUGCAAGGGGAAACAGGAGGCAGGAAUAUAUCAAGAUGGCCGCCGUGGUGUUUGUUUCUCCGCAUGGGUGGUUCACGAACUGGGCUGCCUCCUGGCUCCGAUCAACCGUGUAUGCGCGGUUGCUUGACUCGAAGAGUGUAGGCGGACGACGUGUGUAUGCAAUUGCCUGACUGGAGGAUUGUAGGCGCGCGAUCUCUGAUGCGUUUCUGCAGCUUUUAGGCGUAUACAAAAUCUAUUCCGUGUGACGGACAUCCGGAAGAUGCCACAUUUAGAUGGUACGUUCGGGGCGGGGUUGAAGUUGUGAAUUUGAAAAGUUCCGAAAGUGCGUAAUUACGAGUUAUUUGAGGGCGAAACGAAACUCGAGGUGAAGAAAUCAACCUUUUACAAAACAACAAAGUUGGGAAUUGUUGCAAGCCCGACCGCUCAGAAUUCCAAGAUGCAAGGUUCUCAAAAUUAAAGAUACGAUAAAGUAAUGUUCCGAAAAGUAAAGUUCCGAUAGAGCAAAACAUCCGAAAAAUGCAGUUUUGAUUGAGUAAAGUUCUGGAAAUUAAAAUAAAACCUCACAGCGUAGUUUCCUCAACGAGUGGGUGUGAAAAAUC
rnacentral:lncRNA from 1 species